AAUCCCCACACAUCAUUGGAAAAAUAAGUAAAGCAAAGACAUCAGUAAAGUCGCAAACAAACCUAGCCUGGGAUCAGGCGUCUUCUAUGGCCGAAAAUCCACGAGAGUCCCACCCGCACCACCUGGAUUCCAUACCUGGAUCAUUACACAUAGUUUUUAUCAGGAUGAGUAACCCUAUCAAAGAUAAAAAAAAAAAAACACCCACUUAGUCUAUCCCGUCUACCUUUAUUCGCAAAUCAAUACUGAUACACCGGAUAGGAGAAAUUUCGGAUAUCACCUAUAAAUAUAAAACGAUAUCAAAGUAUACAAUAGCGAACGAGAGUCGCCUUCCAAUCGUUUAUUACAUUUCGGUUGUUGUUCACAAACACAAAAAUUAAAUUACAUUAAAAUAUUAUGAACUUAUAUUGAACUAGAAAUU